GCCCGGUGGGCGGGGCCCGGGCAGUUGACGGUUGGUCUGGCCAUGGCCGUGACGUGUGUGGGAGGCCAGCGGGGUCUUGGGGAAGUGGGGUCUGAGGGGUGCGGUUCGCGAGAGAAAGGAGGGAGCGGGCGGGCGAGGGACUGCUCAUGUUAAAGGAAAUUCUUGACUGAGAGGGAGUUGUGAAAGGAAAGGAGAGUCAAGGGUUUCCUGUGACGAAAGAAUUCUUAAUCCUAGAGGGGAGAUCCCUAAGGAAAGGGAACCUUGUGAGAAAGUUCAGGGUCGUCUUUUCGCGUCAUCCCGUCCCCCAACGCAGCUGACUCUGGAUUUCCUUCCCCGGCCGCAGGCCCGGUGCCCGUCCGCCCACCUCCCUCUCUGAGGCUGCCUCUGGUUCCAUUCUUUGGAAACUGUUCUGCAGAAGGCUCAGCUUGCUUCUGUCCAAGAGUCUGCGCGCGCGCACGCACACACACACACACACACCCCCCCAAAAUGUGUUUGCAUAUGAUCAUUGUUUCUGGUCCAUGCAUGAAUUAGAUCACUGGUUUAUUAUAAAAGGAUAUAACUCAUGAACAGCCAAAUGGAAGAGCUACAUAGGGCACGGUAUGGGGAAAGAGUGUGGAGCUUCCAUGACCCUUCCAGAGGCACAUUCUGGAUCAUAAAUUCAAAACAUGGCAAAACACGGCAGUCUCACUGAGUUGAGGAGAUAGAGAUUGGAGUUCAUGGACUCUGGAGGCAGCUGGAAGUUGCUACACGGAAUAGUAAAAUGGAAGAAGUUCUGUGGGCUAUAAGUCUGACAUGACUGUCAUGUUGUAAGGAGACUCAAGAAGACUUAUGGAGAGGUCCAGAUAGUGAGGAACUAAGCCUCCUGUCAACAACGAGCACUAAGUUUCUAGGCUUGCAAGCAAGCCACCUUGGAAGUGGAUCCUCCAGCCUCAGUCAAGCCUUCAGAUGACUGCAGCCCUGGCCAGCCUCUUGACUGCAAGCUCAUAAGAAAUAUUAAGUCAGAAUCACCCAGCUAAGCCACUGCUAGAUUCUUGACCCACAGAAAUUGUGUGAGAUAAGUAUUUACUGUUUGUUUGUUUUUUGUUUUGUUUGUGAGGAAGAUUGGCCCUGAGCUAACAUCCAUGCCAAUCUUUCUCUAUUUUGUACGUGGGAUGCCACCACAGCAUGGCUUGAUGAGAAGUGUGUAGGUCCACACCUGGGAUCCGAACCCAUGAACCCUGGGCCACUGAAGCAGAGCGUGCAAACUUAACCACAACGCCACUGGGCCGGCCCCCAGAAUUGACUUUUUUAUUGUAGUAAAAUAGACAUAACAUAAAAUUUACCAUUUUAACCAUUUUUGAAUGUACAAUUCAGAGGCCUUAAGUAUAUUCACAAUGUUGUAUAACCAUCACCACUAUUUAUUUCCGGAACUUUUUCAUCAUCCCAAACAGAAACUUUGUAAUUAUUUCUCCUUCCUCCCAGACCGUGGUAACUUCUAUUCUUCUUUCUGUCUCUAUGAAUUUUCCUAUGCUAGAUAUUUAAUAUAAAUAGAACCAUACAAUAUUUGUUCUUUUGUAUCUGGCUUAUUUCACUUAGCAUAAUGCUUUCAAGAUUCAUCCAGAUUGUAGCACGUAUAAAAAUUUCACUCCUAGGGGCUGGCUCCGUGGCCGAGUGGUUAAGUUCGCGCGCUCCGCUGUGGCGGCCCAGGGUUCGGAUCCUGGGCACGGACACGGCACCCCUCGUCGGGCCACCUUGAGGCGGCAUUCUGCAUCCCACAACUGGAAGGACCUGCAACUAAGAUAUACAACUAUGUACCGGGGGGGUUUGGGAAAUAAAGCAAAAAAAAAAAAAAAAGAUUGGCAACAGUUCUUAGCCCAGGUGCCAAUCCUUAAAGUCUGAAGUGAACUUUCUUAAAAAAAAAAAAAUUUCAUUCCUUUUUAUGGUUGAAUAAAAUUGUAUCGCAUGUAUAUACCACAUUUGGUUUAUCCAUUCAUCUGUUGAUGGGCACUUGGGUUGUUUCCACCUUUUGGCUAUUGUGAAUAAUGCUGCUAAGAGCGUUAAUGUACAAGUAUGUGUUUCAGUCCCUGCUUUCCAUAUCAUUUAAUAAUGUCUGUGUUUAACAAACAGCUGGCAAAGUUCCUGUAAAUUCAAUAAUCAGCUCUGGUGAGCCUGUGAGAGCCCGUUGGAGCCAGCUCUAGCACAAUGUUGGAGAGCCAUAAUGCACCCAGCUGGGCUCAAACAAGGCCAAUUUGGGUUCAACUCACCAUGCCAGCAUCUUCUACAUUUGCCUAAUAAUGAGAAUUACCUGGGAUAUCCAUUAAAAUAUUGAUUCCCAGGCGCUCAGGAGAUUCUGAUUCUGAAGUUCUGAGGCAAGGUGGUUUUUCUCACUGGGAUUUUUCUCAGUGUGGAAAACCCGAUAUCAGGCCCCAGUACCACCAAAUCUAGGCCUGAAGACAGAGGGGGUACAAAUAUGGUGCCCAGGAAGAGAGGAGGCGUGAGCAAGUGCUUUGGUGAGAACUUGCUGCAAAUUUAGGAGUGGCAUUUUUUUCUCUGCAAAUCCUUCACAGCUCCAAUAUUCAUUGACUAUACACUUCACUCCUGCUCAUCUCCCUGAAUCCCAUCUUAGGAAAGAACGUCUUCCAGAGAGAGCCAAGUGGAAAUCAUUAGGCCCAACAAUUUGACGCGGUUGCAGAAGCUUGCAUAUCAUUAUACUGUUUAGAAACAUGCUCUGAAGCUCUGAGGAUGCCAUUCUUUAGUGUUAUUUUGAUACGCUGACAAGAUAUUUUUAGAGCACAUUAAGUCCAAAUUAAAACAUUGCUACAAAAAAAAGUGAAAUUAAACCAGGGCUCCAUUAAAUGGAAAAUUACAGUAAAUAUCAGAAAGAAGUGAAGGAAAAAGUACCAAACAUUUCUGAGAACUAUUUGGAGAGGAGAGGAGAUGAAGAGAUGCUCCUGAGCAGCAUGUGAGAUGUGCCCGUGUCCUGCUGGGGUGGGAGGGGAAGGCCUCAUGCCUGUAGCCGCUGACCUGACAGGCUCUCACCUUGUAUUAGUGCGAGAGGCGCUUCCUCCCCACUGGUGAGGGCGGGAUGUAGGCUGCUGGCAGCGGACACAGUACUUCAGCUUAAUGGACAUGGUCAAGGAUCACACUGGCCUUCUGCUUAGUCCCUGGUUUCUUGGAUUGGGUCUGAAAUACGGUUAGUUAGGCCUUUAGGCAACACUAUUGCCUUUUUCCUCCAUUCUGUUUCUCUCCAGUUUCGCUGUGUUUUUGGCAUUUCUCACAGUGUCUCUAUUAGAGGGCUUCCAUGAGCUCAGAUUUAAAGACUGAAAAUCUGGAAAAACUAUUUCUGAGAAGAAGGUCCACACCCUUUUUUAGACCUCUUAGAUCAUUGCUUCCUAAUUUCUUUGGGGCUACAGAUGUCUGAUUACCUGAUGAAGGCUAUGGGUCCUCACGUACAGUUUGCGAGUUAGAGUUUCAAAGAGUUUUUUGAGUCCCUGAAGCCCACCAGUGGAUCCCAUGUUGAGAGAAUCUGCCUGGGGCUGCCCCAGUGGUGUAGUGGUUAAGUGUGCAUGCUCCGCUUUGGUGGCCAUCUUUGCUCCCUCAAGUGAAAAGAGGAAGACUGACAACAGAUGUUGCCUUAGGUCGUAAUUCAGACCCUAGUGGCCUUGGAGGUGGGAUGCCUUGGCCUUCAGCUGGGAACUGUCAUGUGCCCAGCAGUCCCAGCACUCCAUCUAUGACAGGAGUUUGACAGGCCCUCCUUUUAUUGGAGUCUUGAUACAAUUCUAAUUAGACAAUUCAGAGUAAGAUCAAGAAGCUUCCUUUGGCAGUGCUAAAAUACUCUUGGGUUUCUUAACAAAGAAUGGGAUAGAGGAGAGUUCUUUUGGGGAAUAAAAAGUCUGAGUCUCUUUAACUCAGACAGAGAGAUGGAAAGAUCUUCAAGUGUACGAGAGGACGUGUAGACAGUAGAUGCUAACAGUCGUUCUCCACGUUCACUGAAUUCAGGGCAUACAAGGAUUUUGUGAUCUCUAUCAUGUGUACUGUCGAGUGGGGAUGAGAUGUGAUGAUUAUGUGUGCAUAAAGUGGAGAGUGGACAAAUUAACACCCCCACUGUCCACCCUCUCCACCCCCACUUGCCUAAAGUACAUGGACAUAGAAAAUUUUUUUUUGGUGAGGAAGAUUGGCCCUGAGCUAACAUCUGUUGCCAAUCGUCCUCUAUUUUGCAUAUGGUACGCUGCCACAGUAUGGCUUGAUGAGUGGUGUUUAGGUCUGUGCACAGAAUCCAAAUCCAUGAACCCUGGGCCGCUGAAGUAGAGCAUAUGAACUUAACCACUACGCGCCUGGGACAGCCCCCUAGAAUUUUUUUAAAUUAAAUAUUGGCGGAAUGAAUCUGUUGAACGAGUUGACUUGCUCUAUAGAGUCAUUUUAUACUGACCAAUUGGAUUUUGAAGAAUGUCUCCCAAAGGCAAUGGAUUUUUGUUUUGUCUUAGUUAACGUUGAGCAUUGAGCCAUUAUUCCUGGCUGCUGCUUGGUCCAAUUGUCUCUUCAGGCUACUCCCUAUUGUUGAUAAUAAAACCAUGAUGAGAAUAGAGCAGGUGUCCAGAGUCUAGGACUUGCUGGAGGCUCUGGGAGGGAAAGAGAGGGGAGCAGUGAUGUGGGGGAGCCGGCAGGGACAGAUUAGCUUUGAGCUUCUGACACUUAUUUCCCCCUUCUGAACUGCAGAUGUUAUUUGGGGUGGGGGAAUGGGUGGGAGACAGAUACACAUAUUCAAUUCCUUGUUUCCUUUUGUGCUGUGUUUUCUUCCAGUCUUGGUCCAUAUUCAUGUUCACUUACCUAAGUAUGAGUUAUAAUGUAAUACUCUUUUGUAAUCUGUUUUUAAAAUAGCAUUAUAUAACAUUUUUAGUGAUAUUUAUUCCUUAUGAGUAGCUUUUAAAAAGAGACACAACUCUCCUGUUCUUUACUCCUUUCUACUGUAAAUGUAAAGUAUAUUCAUUAUUUUUUUAAAUGCAGACAAUAUGCAAAGAAAGUGAAAAAUCACCCUUGAUAUUUUGAAAUGUAUCCGAAACUUUUUUCUAUGCAUAUAUAAAUACAUACUUACAAAAAUGGGAUCAUCGCAUACACGCUUUUCUAGUUCCUGUUUUUCCAUGUCAUUAAAUAGAGUAGCAAUUUAAAAUUUAGUUAGUUUUAUAUAGAUACAGAGUGGUAUUUUAAUAAUUAGUAGUGUUUUAGUAGUAUUUUCAAAAAUUAAUAUUUUAACUUUAAGAGUAGUAUUUUUAAGUAUGGGUGUCCCACAGUUUACCCUUGCCUACUGAUGACACUUCAGUGUUUUCCAAAUUGUCACCAUUGUGACAGUUCUCAUACAUACACCUUUUCUCCUUAGGACUGAUUCCUAGAAGUAGAACUUGCGGUCAAAGAGAAUGCACAGUUAACAUAUUUUGCAUUACGUUGUUUACCAGUUAUCACUCCCAAUAGAAGUGUGUCAAAGAGCCCCUUUCCCCUCCUUCUUGCCAAUAUAAUUACUCUUCUUAACAGCAGCAAAAUAAUCCUGAAGUAACGCUCGGAGAGCAGACCUUCCAGUUUGGAGGCAGAGCCACACUGUCCCCUAGGAACGUCGAGCCGCAAUGUCCCUGUUAUGUGCAGGUAUCGCCGCCAGAUGGCGACCGUGCGCAGGACCCCAGCGCCGGCUCGGUUGGCCGAGGGUGGUCCGACCCGGUGCCCGCGCAGGCAGGGCAGGAAGAGGACCAAACUGGGUGGCGGAAAAGGGACCCAGGGCCCAGAGGACACGAAAGCAAGGGCCGAGACGGAGUUCAGCGUCCCAGGGAAGAAGAUGCCAGCUAAGUGACUAAACGGAGGCGGCAACUGUCUGUCACCGCCGGAACCGCGCCGUGCGCGCUGAUGAAGGACGCGACAGGGCGCCGGGGCCGUGG
ensembl:lncRNA